GGCGCCGGGCGCUCGGCCAUGUCUGCGGGGAGCGCGGGGCCGGGGCCGCUGUGCCCGGAGCACGGCCAGGCCCUGGGCUGGUUCUGCUGCUCCGAGCGACGGCCCGUGUGCGCCGGCUGCGCGGGGCUGGGCGGCCGCUGCCGGGGCCACCGCAUCCGCCGGGCGGAGGAGCGCGCGGAAGAGCUGCGGAACAAGAUUGUGGACCAGUGUGAGAGGCUGCAGUUACAGAGUGCCAGCAUCACCAAGUAUGUGGCUGAGGUCCUGCCAGGGAAGAACCAGAGAGCAGUGAGCACAGCCAGCGCAGCACGGGAACUGGUCAUCCAGAGGCUAGGUGUGGUGAGGAGUCUGUGUGAGAGUGAGGAGCAGCGUUUGCUGGAACAGGUGCAUGGCGAAGAGGAGCGGGCCCACCAGAGUAUCCUGACACAGCGAGUACACUGGACUGAAGCGCUGCAGAAGCUUGACACCAUUCGGACCAGCCUGGUGGACAUGCUCACCCAUCUGGAUGACCUCCAGCUGAUUCAGAAGGAGCAGGAGAUUUUUGAAAGGACCGAGGAGGCAGAGGGCAUUCUGGAUCCUCAGGAGUCGGACAAGUUAAACUUUAAUGAGAAGUGCAUUCGGAGCCCACUACUUACCCAACUCUGGCUGACAGCAGUUCUUGGGUCCCUCUCAGGCAUGGAGGACGUGCGUAUCGACGAGAGGACUGUCAGCCCCUUGCUGCAGCUGUCAGAUGAUCGAAGGACCCUGACCUUCAACGCCAAGAAGUCCAAGGCCUGUGCCGAUGUCCCCGAGCGCUUUGACCACUGGCCCAAUGCCCUCGCUGCCACCUCUUUCCAGGCUGGGCUGCACACCUGGCUGGUGCACGUCCAGAACAGUUGUGCCUAUAAAGUGGGCGUGGCCUUGGGCCAGCUGCCCCGCAAGGGCUCUGGCAGCGACUCCCGGCUGGGCCACAACACCUUCUCGUGGGUCUUCUCCCGCUAUGACCAGGAGUUCUGUUUCUCGCACGACGGGCAGCACGAGCCGCUGGGGCUGCUGCGUUGCCCCUCGCAGCUGGGUGUGCUCCUGGACUUGCAGGCACAGGAGCUGCUCUUCUACGAGCCCGCCUCGGGCACGGUGCUCCACACCCACCACGCGCCCUUCCCGGGGCCCCUCUUCCCCGUCUUCGCCGUGGCCGACCAGACCAUUUCCAUCGUCCACUGACCUGGGGCCACAGGGAGCCCGGGGCUACCCCCCACGCCUCCAGGCCACGUUCCUCUCCAGCGUCUUUUCCCCCAAAUGUUGCCUCUGCCCAGUGGGCAGCUUUUAGGAGGGGUGGGGACCCGCUUCGGGCCUGCGUCCCGGCUCGGCAUCCGUGGGGAGCCUGCCGCUCCCUGGGCCUCAGCCUCCCAAACCCGCCACGCAUCUGCCCCUCUGAGGGUGUCUUGUUUACCAGUCACAGCUGGCAUCCAGCGCGGUGCCUGGUGCCUACUGAUUGUGCAAUAAAUAUUUCACAAGCACGUGGAUGGAUGGAAGGGUGCCCAGGUGUGUGUGGGAGGCUCUUCUCGAGAACCUUAAAGGGAUUCAGGAGUCCUGCUAGGCCGCUGUUGGCCACAGGACUCUGGCCUGGGGGGCUCAGAAGACUGAGGGCAUCCUGUCCGUAGGGAACUGGACUGCAACACCCCCAUUGGCGGUUCUGCCUCGGGGUGGGUGGCUGGGCUCAGCUGUGCACCCCUCCGUGGGAACAGGGACAACCCCCCCCCCUGCAACUCGUGGCCCCCCUGGCAUACUGUGGGGACCCGGAGGGAGGGCUUCAAGCCUGAGAGGACAGAGGCAGUAAGAGGGUCAGGUUUGGGGAACAGGUAUGUUAUUAAAGGUUUUCAAAGACUGAGAAGUUUCUUCCAUGUUCUUUGUGGCUAAUUGGGCAAAUCUCCCCAAGUGCCAGCUCACGUCUGAAGAGGUGCCCUUGCUAGGACGUAGAGGCCUUCCUCACCCCCCUCGGCAUGCCGAGCUCAGCACACACACCCAAGAGAGCCCUGCCUGCUGGAACCAAGGGCAAUCGCUUCCUGCUCCAGGUCCCAUCAGAACAGUGGUCCUCCCAUUUCUGUUAUUUAGGAACACAGUUCAAAGGCGAUCUUACCUAUAACCUCAGGCCCCGGGCUCAAAGAUGGUGGCCAAAGCCGUCCCCACUCAUAUGCUUAUUUACUUGAAACACCGGGUUGGGGACGCCUGGGUGGC